GUCUCUAUGGCUCAGUUGGAAGAGCGUUGGUCUCAUAUUAUUACCUAAUUGAUUGUUAUGACUCAGCUUGAAGCCUGGGACAUCCAAAGAUCGCAAGUUCGAGCUUUGCCAGGGACA
rfam:Colletotrichum salicis strain CBS 607.94 Scaffold_1526.1, whole genome shotgun sequence.